AACGUAGGUGGCGAGCGUUAUCCGGAUUCAUUGGGCGUAAAGAGCUUGUAGGCGGCGUCAUAAGUUGGACGUGAAAACUCCGGGCUUAACUUGGAGAGGCCGUUCAAUACUGUGAGGCUAGAGGGUGUCAGAGGGAAGUAGAAUUCCUGGUGUAGCAGUGAAAUGCGUAGAUAUCAGGAGGAAUACCCGUGGCGAAGGCGGCUUCCUGGGACACAUCUGACGCUGAGAAGCGAAAGCUAGGGGAGCAAACGGG
rnacentral:rRNA from 1 species